rnacentral:lncRNA from 1 species
CUCUUUGUUGCGAACCAGAAACUUCAACCCUUAUCUCUCUUAACUCCAGGGAGGAUCUCCAAGCUCCAAGGAAAUAGAGCAAUCCAAUAGACAAUUAGAAACUCUACUUUCUCUAUCUUCGAGCUCUGGCAAAAGAGCUCUAAGACGAAGCCCAAACCCCGACGAGAACUAAACCUCAUUAUUCUUCUCUCAUUCCCCGACGAAACAAUCUAUGAAACCAAAUCUCAAACAAGCCAAC